GUGCUUGCUUCGGCAGCAUGUAGACUAAAAUUAGCACCAUACAGAGAAGAUUAGUGUGGACCCUGCGCAAGGAUGAUGUAUAAAUUUGUGAAGCACUACAAUGGAUU